UACUUAUAACAUGUCUAUGCUAGCGGCUACUUCCGCUAACUACAAUGCUCGCGGCUGCUUCUGCUGACCACACUAGCGAAUGUUUGGACUCUAGCUUAAAACUGCUGAUAUUAUUCGUGUAAACACGUCUGUCAGCCAUAUAAGCUGCUGAAAGAAGAAUCUAGCAGCUAUUAUUCUACCAAAAACACACUACAUACAGUAGCUGCUACUUCCGGUAGCCAGGCUAACAGCUACUUCCGGUCACCCGCUAUUUUGGCAAACAAAACCCAGCUUCUAGACGGUAAAGUUGAACUCACUUACUGCCAUGUUUUGACUAGUUAUCUCUCACUGGGCAACAUGAAAGACGUUACGAGUAAAGUCUGCGGUCGUCAACAAGCGCUUACGUUGGUGGUGGUGAGCUAACUGGCGGCUAAUGCUAACGGAAGGAAGCUGCGUGCACAAAGCCAGCACUUAAAUGUCGGCGGAGGGUUCUUGUGGUUUAAGUAAAUGUAGUCAAGCGGGACUAUGCAAGUUGUUUGCAGUGGAUUAUUUGUGAAGAAGAGGGAGUUGCAUUACCUUGUUUUACCUUGUAAAUGUUGUCUAGACGACACAGGCAAGCAUGGAGUAGAGAAGCAGUACGGCGGCUGAGCGCGGACAAAAAGGACACCAAGGCAGAAUGACCACAGUAUGACGCAAGCAUGGAGUAGAGGAGCAAUAUGGCGGCUGAGCGAGGACAAAAAGGACACCAGGGCAGAAGUACCACAGUAUGACACAUGUCAUCUUAUGAGAAGGACAUGGACGUCACCUCCACUUCUUGUCUUGUCCUGUGCUGGGUCGCCAUUGAUGUUUGUCGGGGGCCACAAGCCCCGCCCCCUGAAGAGAAAGGUGCCAAGCAGAUAGAAGGUCAGAGGUCAAAGUGCGUACGUGCGGGGCGAUACUUCACACCAUCAGAUGGCGACCCCCCCCUGCCGUGCCUAAUCAGGUGUCCUCCACCAGUGGUGUCAUGUCCUGCAGGUUCAACCCUGGAGUGAGGUCGUGUCAGCGUUGCCAUGACAACUAUCACCCUUUGCCAGCCUUACCUCAGCAGCCUGGCAUUGGCGGGGUCACAGAACAGCCUGUGACCUUCAACUGAAAAAAACACUCUUGCCUUUUUUCUCUCUAAUUAUACACAGAGCCACACUUUGAUAUCGCUUUGAUAUCGCUUUGACAUGUCUUUAUAUCUAUGUGAUAUCCCUUUGAUAUUGCUUUGUGUCACUUUGAUAUCCUUUGAUAUCACUUUAAUAUCUCGUUGAUAUUGCUUCGAUAACCUUUGAUAUCACUCUGGUAUCACUUUGAUACAUCUUUUGAUAUUGCUUUGAUAUCAUUUGAUAAUCACAUCGCUUUGCUAUCUCUUUGAUAUCCUUUGUAUCUUUGAUCUUGCUUUCCUUUGCUUUUGUGCUGACAUCACUUUGCUGAUAUCACUUUGAUAUUGCUUCGACAUCUUUUGAUAUUGCUUUGUAUCACUCUGAUAUCACUUUGAUAGCCUUUAAUUUCACUUUAUUAUAUAUUCGAUCUUGCUUUAAUAUCCUUUAUAUCCCUAUAUCCCUUUGACAUCCUUUGAUAUCUGAUAUCGCUUUUACAUUACUUUUAAUCAUUUGAUAUCACAUCGCUUUGAAUAUAUCUUUGAUAUCAUGGUAUCACAUUGCUUUGCUAUCCAUUUGAUAUCGCUCUGGUAUCCCUUUAAUAUCGCUUUGACAUCAUUUGAUAUUGCUUUGAUAUCAUUUGAUAAUCACAUCGCUUUGCUAUCUCUUUGAUAACUUUAGUAUCUUUGAUCUUUCUUUCCUUUGCUAUUGUGCUGAUAUCACUUUGAUAUUGCUUUGGCAUCUUUUGAUAUCACUUUGAUAUUGCUUCGACAUCUUUUGAUAUUGCUUUGUAUCACUCUGAUAUCACUUUGAUAGCCUUUAAUUUCACUUUAUUAUAUAUUCGAUCUUGCUUUGAUAUCCUUUAUAUCCCUAUAUCCCUUUGACAUCCUUUGAUAUCUGAUAUUGCUUUUACAUUGCUUUAAAUCAUUUGAUAUCACAUCGCUUUGAAUAUAUCUUUGAUAUCAUGGUAUCACAUUGCUUUGCUAUCCAUUUGAUAUCGCUCUGGUAUCCCUUUAAUAUCGCUUUGACAUCAUUUGAUAUUGCUUUGAUAUCAUUUGAUAAUCACAUCGCUUUGCUAUCUCUUUGAUAACUUUAGUAUCUUUGAUCUUUCUUUCCUUUGCUAUUGUGCUGAUAUCACUUUGAUAUUGCUUUGGCAUCUUUUGAUAUUGCUUUGUAUCACUGAUCUUGCUUUGAUAUCCUUUAUAUCCGUUUGAUAUCGCUCUGGUAUCACUUUGACAUACUGUGAUAUUACUUUAAAUAAUUUGAUAUCACAUCACUUUGAAUCUAUCUUUGAUAUCAUGAUAUCACAUUGUUUUGAUACCCAUUUGAUAUCGCUCUGGUAUCACUUUGAUAUCGCUUUGGCUUUGACAUCAUGUUGAUAUUGCUUUGAUGUCACUUGAUAUCACAUCGCUUUGCUAUCACUUUGAUAUCGCUUUGAUAUCAUUGAUAUCACAUCACUUAGAUAUCUUUGAUAUCCCUUUCAUAGCGCUCUGAUAUCACCUUGAUAUUGCUUCGACAUCCUACAUAUUGCUUUGAUAUCGCUUUUUUAAUGUCCUUUGAUAUCACAUUGCUUUGAUAUCAAAGUGUUAUCACUUUGAUAUCAAAGGCUUUUUCACAGCUGCCAUUUAUUGUUUUUUUUAAGUGCAUGCAUAACUUAUUUUUACACAUGAGAAUGUAAAAUAAAAACCUUAUCUGAUAAUUCAACAUCAUCAGUAAAUAUUAAUAGAAUAUGGCCUUGAUAUCACUUUGAUAUCAAGGGCUUUUUCACCGCUGCCACUUAUUGGGCUUCACUUGUUUUUUUAUUCAGCAAUUGUGCGGGCAUAACUUAUUUUGACACACAGUCCGCUCAUGGAUAAUACAGCAUAAUAUUGUAGUGAUAUUAAUAAUCAAGCUUCUUUUUGCACUUGUGUGGCUCUUAAGAAUGUUUAAAACUUUGUUUAAAUAGUUUUAAUAAAGGGGGAGGAGUUAUGACACAAACUGGAGGUGGAGGUUUAAUUGCAAUAAUUUAACAUCAUCAGUGAAUAUAAAUAUCGUACUCACAAGUCCCCCUUUUAAAAUACAUGUUGCAUUUUAAAGUGCUUAACUUAUUUUUACACUUGAGACUGUUAAAUAAAAAACAUGUGUGAAGUGUGUUCCUCGUGGAUAAUACAGCAUAAUAUUGUAGUGAUAUUAAUAAUUGAACUUCUUUUUGCACUUGUGUGGCUCUUAAGAAUGUUUAAAAGUGUACUUAAAUGGUUUUAAUAAAGGGGGGAGAGGGUAUUAUGACACAAACUGAAGGUGGAGGUUUAGUUGCAAUAAUUUAACAUCAUCAGUGAAUAUAAAUAUCGUACUCACAAGUCCCCCUUUUAAAAUACAUGUUGCAUUUUAAAGUGCUUAACUUAUUUUUACACUUGAGACUGUUAAAUAAAAAACAUGUGUGAAGUGUGUUCCUCGUGGAUAAUACAGCAUAAUAUUGUAGUGAUAUUAAUAAUUGAACUUCUUUUUGCACUUGUGUGGCUCUUAAGAAUGUUUAAAAGUGUACUUAAAUAGUUUUAAUAAAGGAGGGAGAGGGUAUUAUGAUACAAACUGAAGGUGGAGGUUUAGUUGCAAUAAUUUAACAUCAUCAGUGAAUAUAAAUAUAGUACUCACAAGUCCCCCUUUUAAAAUACAUGUUGCAUUUUAAAGUGCUUAACUUCUUUUUACACUUGAGACUGUUAAAUAAAAAACGUGUGAAGUGUGUUCCUGGUGGAUAAUACAGCAUAAUAUUGUAGUGAUAUUAAUAAUCGAGCUUCUUUUUGCAAUUGUGAGGCUCUUAAGAAUGUUUAAAAGUGUACUUAAAUAGUUUUAAUAAAGAGGAGGGUAUUGUGACACAAAUGCAGGUGGACGUGUCAUCGCUAUAAUGCAACUUGUCCUUAAAACCCUUUUAAUGCAGGUUUUAUGAUGGCCACAGUUUGACACUGGAACAGACCAAUUCACUUUCCACUGUUUCUUAUGUGGGGAAAUAAUGUUGACUCAAACUACAAGUGCAAGUGUUCGUUUCAUUGCAAUAAUUCAACAUCAUCAGUCAAUCAAUGUUUACUUAUAUAGCCCUAAAUCACUAGUGUCUCAAAGGGCUGCACAAACCACUACGACAUCCUCGGCAAGAAAAACUCACACCCAGUGGGACGUCGGUGAAUAUGAAUACAGUAAAGCAGUACUCACAAGUACUUUUUUAAACAAAUAUUGCGUUUUAGAUUGCUUAACUUCUUUUUGCAAUUUAGAAAGUGAUUCAGAAACAUUCGCGAGGCGUGUCUUACGCGUGCGCUGGCUAGGAAAGUCACAAAGGUGACUUUUUAAUGGCCACAACUUGACCCUGGAACAGACUAAUUGAUGUGGCACUGAUUGUAACACAGUCAGGCAUAACUACCUACUCCUUUUUUUAGGAACUGAAUGUCUCUUUGGGAGAGAGGACCCUAUUGUAUUUCUAAGGUUUUAUUAUUCUACCGCCGCCUCUUUGAGCUGUAAUUUGACCCUCUUAACAUGCUUCAAAACUCACCAAAUUAAAACACACAUCAGGACUGGCGAAAAUUGCGAUCUAUUCAAAAAACCAAAACUCAAAAUUGCGCUCUAGCGCCCCCUAGGAAAAAACACAGACAAAGAGGUGUGUAACUUCAGUUCUGAAUGUCGUGGAGACAUGAAACAAAAACCUCUAUGUAGGUC